rnacentral:rRNA from 1 species
UACGUAGGGAGCAAGCGUUGUUCGGAUUUACUGGGCGUAAAGGGCGCGUAGGCGGCAAUUCAAGUCAUCUGUGAAAUCUCCGGGCUUAACUCGGAACGGUCAGAUGAUACUGUUUUGCUAGAGUGCAGAAGGGGCAAUCGGAAUUCUCGGUGUAGCGGUGAAAUGCGUAGAUAUCGAGAGGAACACCAGAGGUGAAGACGGGUUGCUGGGCUGACACUGACGCUGAGGCGCGAAAGCCAGGGGAGCAAACGGG